rnacentral:lncRNA from 1 species
AACCAUUUUGCUGGUAGAAUGGUUUCAGUAAGUUGAUUAAUAGUUAUUUGCUUCUGAAACCAUUUAGCUUGUAGAAUGGUUUCAGAGAUUUGUACUCUGAAAGCAUUUUCCUGGUAGAAUGGUUUCAGUGAGUUGAUGUAAGGUAGUGAAAAAUGAGAUUAAGGUAGUGAAAAAUUGGGUUUUUUUUUCUGUGUCCAAAUCAAACGAACCAAGUCUCUAUUUGUAGAGAAAAAAAAAUUAUGAAUUUUGGUAUAAAAAAUAAAAAAUUAAUUUACGACGAAAUAAUUGAGUUUAAAAUAUUAAAUGGAAAAAAAUUAACGCAGCCAAGCAUAUGCUGACACGUGGCCUUUCCUUUUU